rnacentral:rRNA from 1 species
UGGCUCUCGCAUCGAUGAAGAACGCAGCGAAAUGCGAUAAGUAAUGUGAAUUGCAGAAUUCAGUGAAUCAUCGAAUCUUUGAACGCACCUUGCGCUCCUUGGUAUUCCGAGGAGCAUGCCUGUUUGAGUGUCAUGAAUUCUCAACCCACACGUCCUUGUGA